UACGUAGGGACCAAGCGUUGUUCGGAUUUACUGGGCGUAAAGGGCGCGUAGGCGGCAUGGUCAGUCACUUGUGAAAUCUCCGGGCUUAACUCGGAACGGUCAAGUGAUACUGCCGUGCUAGAGUGCAGAAGGGGCAAUCGGGAUUCUUGGUGUAGCGGUGAAAUGCGUAGAUAUCAAGAGGAACACCUGAGGUGAAGACGGGUUGCUGGGCUGACACUGACGCUGAGGCGCGAAAGCCAGGGGAGCAAACGGG
rnacentral:rRNA from 1 species